rnacentral:rRNA from 1 species
AUGAGUUCCAUCAUCAACAAAUACUCCAAGCCACCGGCGGAGGCCGUGGAGGCUGGCUUAGAGAGGAUUCUACUCAGGGGGCAGGUCAUCAUGGACGAGGCCAUGGGGCGGCACAUCACAAACCAUGGAAUGCUCCAGCAGCUUAGCAUGCUGAGGUAUGCCAUGUACCAAGGCUACUAUGUGCUCGACACCUUCAGAUGCCAAGCGUACCAAGAAGAGGAGAAUAUUCAGGCUGUGAGUCAAUCUGGGGCCGUGUCCAAAUUUCGUUAUGCACAACGGCUCUGUCUCUCCAGCAGCAACAACAAAAAAACAUCACAAGGGCUUGAAGAGGCCCUUGACAGUUUGAGAUCCAUGAUUCUUGAUGCCAGUGAGAUGGUGAGGUUCCUGACAACAUAUCCUCGCCUGCAUCGCCAGCCUUACAGCAUGCAUCUCUUGCUGGACAAGUGCAUGUUUGCCCGCCAGAGGGAGACAGAAGUAGUUAUCAACUUCCUUCUGUGCACACAAUCUUGUACUUGUAGCUUCGAUGUCCUCCCAAUUGUUGGUCCGGAGAAUGUUGGAAAGAGCACUCUUGUCGCUCAUAUCUGCGAAGACGAAAGAGUACGUGUUGGGGAUCUCGACAAAGAUCUGUGGGGGAACUUGUGCUCUCUUUGCCGACAGAGCACCACAAGUGGUAGUAAAAUCAUUAUCACAAGCCGGUCUGACAAGAUCACAAACUUUGGGACAACACAGAGUCUAGUACUGAAGCAUCUGUCCGAUGAGGCAUUCUGGUAUUUUUUCAAGGUGAUUACGUUUGGAAGUACGGAUCCCAAGAUGCACCCGAGGCUCGUGUAUUUGGCAAUGGAGAUAGCAAAAUUGAUGUAUAACCUCGCUGAAGCAAGCAUCACUGCAUGUGUAUUGAGAGCCAAUUUUAACACCAAUUUCUGGGGCAAGGUUCUGGCAUUCCGACAAGGGUGCAUGCAAAAGCAGCUCUGUAAGCUUGGGGUGCAUCCGUGUGAACUUCUCAGUGGGAAUAGACCUGUGUAUCUUCAACGAAUGGGUAGAACUAGUGAAGAUGUUCUUGUUCUUGGUACUAAUCAGACAUGCUAUUCUGUAGAGGAAGCUCCCAAGAUAACGGCCGUAGAUGUUUUGUAUGGAAUCGCCAGGCCUCAAGGGGGGACAUUUAAGGUCCUUCUAUGGAAGUCUCGGAUACCGCCCUACCAUACCUACAUCCAAACUUAUGAGAUUCGAGAGGUGCAAGCUAGAGCGGUGAAGAGGAAGCGCCCUUUGAUGAAUGGCAUUAGACAUGUUUAG